rnacentral:tRNA from 1 species
GGAGUUGUAGCUCAGUGGUAGAGAGUUCCUCUCGAGAGACCCUGGGUUCAAUCCUCAGCACCA